GUGCUCUCUUCAGCAGCACUCAUGCUAACACUGGAACAAUACGGAGCAGAUUAGCACGGCCCCUGUGCGAGGAUGAUACAAAAAUUCACCGAGGGUCCCAUAGUCUUA
ensembl:snRNA Gm24887 predicted gene, 24887